rnacentral:tRNA from 1 species
CAAAAAAUAGUUUAAUUAAAAAUACUAGUUUUGGGGAUUAGUGUUGAGGAUUAUGCCUCUUUUUUGA